AGUGAACGCUGGCGGUAGGCCUAACACAUGCAAGUCGAACGGCAGCACAGUAAGAGCUUGCUCUUACGGGUGGCGAGUGGCGGACGGGUGAGGAAUACAUCGGAAUCUACUUUUUCGUGGGGGAUAACGUAGGGAAACUUACGCUAAUACCGCAUACGACCUACGGGUGAAAGCAGGGGAUCUUCGGACCUUGCGCGAUUGAAUGAGCCGAUGUCGGAUUAGCUAGUUGGCGGGGUAAAGGCCCACCAAGGCGACGAUCCGUAGCUGGUCUGAGAGGAUGAUCAGCCACACUGGAACUGAGACACGGUCCAGACUCCUACGGGAAGCAGCAGUGGGGAAUAUUGGACAAUGGGCGCAAGCCUGAUCCAGCCAUACCGCGUGGGUGAAGAAGGCCUUCGGGUUUUAAAGCCCUUUUGUUGGGAAAGAAAAGCAGCAGGUUAAUACCCCGCUGUUCUGACGGUACCCAAAGAAUAAGCACCGGCUAACUUCGUG
rnacentral:rRNA from 1 species